GAGUCGAGUUAUUUGGGACUAUAGCUCUAAUAGUUUGGUUGGUGGUAAUGACACAUCAAAGGCUAAAUAUUGGUUAGUCGAUGCAUUUUACGGAGACCGAUAGCAUACAAGUACCGUAAGGGAACGAUGAAAAGCACCCUAUUAAGUUCACGGCGUCGGCCGCGUACAAUUCGUUGUACAACGCCGCGCCCAACAACUACAGUGGGAGUGAAAGAGAGAGUGAAAUCGCCUAUACAUAUAAUAUACUACGCGGCGUAUACACACACACAUAUACCCCCCUCGUAUUAUAAGUCUGCGUUAGUACAAUCGGACAGAGUGUCGUAUUAUAGCCGCCUAAUAUACAGUUUCUAAUUGUAUAUUAUGGCUUUGGCUCAUAGCGCGCUUCGGCCGCUAUACGCGACACAACUGUACGACCCGUUUUGAAACACGGACCAAGGAGUUCAACUGGAUUAUGAGUCGUCGAGUGUAUUUAUUUAUACUCACACGGCAAAGCGAAAGCAAUCUUAAUCCUGUGCUAGGUUGGCGCCUUUGUGCGCUAACCGCAGCACGCGCUGAGUAAGUAUACGCGUGAAACCUUUCAAGGUGACGCGCGUACCUUAGAGAGUCAAAUCGCUAAGGAUUACUCAAGCGUUCAACGAGUAUAUCUUGUUGAGACCCGAAAGAUGGUGAACUAUGCUCGGAUAUGGCGAAGUCAGGUGAAAACUUGAUGGAAGCUUGCGUUGUGCGGAACUGACGUGCAAAUCGUUACCGCCUAACCUGAGUAUAGGGGCGAAAGACUCAACGAACCAUCUAGUAGCUGGUUCCCUCCGAAGUUUCCCUCAGGAUAGC
rnacentral:rRNA from 1 species